UACGGGGGGGACAAGCGUUGUUCGGAAUUACUGGGCGUAAAGGGCUCGUAGGCGGCCAACUAAGUCAGACGUGAAAUCCCUCGGCUUAACCGGGGAACUGCGUCUGAUACUGGAUGGCUUGAGGUUGGGAGAGGGAUGCGGAAUUCCAGGUGUAGCGGUGAAAUGCGUAGAUAUCUGGAGGAACACCGGUGGCGAAGGCGGCAUCCUGGACCAAUUCUGACGCUGAGGAGCGAAAGCCAGGGAGCAAACGGGG
rnacentral:rRNA from 1 species